CUUUCACUUUUGUCACACAAAUUACCCCAUUUGUGAGAUUUUCACAAUCUUAUUCCAUUUAACUUUUGUCACUUUUUACCCCAUUUAGUUUUUUUUCUCGAUCCCUUUUUCCUGAUGUCUGACAGGUUGCCAGCACAUCAGGCUCGGAGACAGAUUCUUCCGGGUCAUUUGUCGGUCAUGGUGAGCUUCGAAAGCAUGUAGCCGACUGACUACUUCCCCAACGGUGACGGCCGGAACGUUUGCUCGAUGCUGCCU
rnacentral:lncRNA from 1 species